UACGGAGGGGGCUAGCGUUGUUCGGAAUCAUUGGGCGUAAAGGGCGCGUAGGCGGCCGAUCAAGUCGGAGGUGAAAUCCCUCGGCUCAACUGAGGAAUUGCCUUCGAUACUGGUCGGCUUGAGUCCUGGAGAGGGUAGCGGAAUUCCCGGUGUAGCGGUGAAAUGCGUAGAGACCGGGAAGAACACCUAUGGCGAAGGCAGCUCGCUGGGACGUUACUGACGCUGAGACGCGAAAGCGUGGGGAGCAAACAGG
rnacentral:rRNA from 1 species